UACAGCUGCCUAAAUACCUUAAAGGCACCAGAUCCCAUCUGAUCUUGGAAGCUAAGCAGGGCCAGCUCUGGUUAUUACUGUGAAUGGAGAUUCCCAAUGAAAACCAUGUACUGUAGGCA
rnacentral:rRNA from 1 species